rnacentral:rRNA from 1 species
UACGGGGGGGGCAAGCGUUGUUCGGAAUUACUGGGCGUAAAGGGCGCGUAGGCGGCUUUUCAAGUCGGGCGUGAAAUCUCCGGGCUUAACCCGGAAGGGUCGUUCGAUACUGUUGAGCUAGAGUGUGGAAGAGGCAACUAGAAUUCCGUGUGUAGCGGUGAAAUGCGUAGAUAUACGGAGGAAUACCUGAGGCGAAGGCGGGUUGCUGGGCCAACACUGACGCUGAUGCGCGAAAGCAUGGGGAGCGAACAGG